UACGUAGGUGGCAAGCGUUGUCCGGAUUUACUGGGCGUAAAGAGCGCGCAGGCGGUCGUUCAAGUCGCGUGUGAAAGCCCCCGGCUCAACUGGGGAGGGUCACGCGAUACUGAUCGACUCGAAGGCAGGAGAGGGUAGUGGAAUUCCCGGUGUAGUGGUGAAAUGCGUAGAUAUCUGGAGGAACACCGGUGGCGAAGGCGGCGUCCUGGACCAACACUGACACUGAGGAGCGAAAGCCAGGGGAGCAAACGGG
rnacentral:rRNA from 1 species